UGGAGAGCAGAGAAGGAGGGCUUUGAGAACAGCAGUGUGGGAGGAGGAUGUGUCCAGUGUAUGAGGCUGAGAAAGAGCUUGAGAGUGAGGAAGGAAGAGAGGGAAGAAGACAGAGUGGAGGAAGUUGGUUACCAUGGAAUCCUCCAGUUCAUAGGAAAGCCAAGAGGAGUCCUCCCGGAACACCUCACAAAUAUCAGCCGCAGGAGGGCCACAGAAGCAAGACCCUCAGUGGAAUUUUCACAACUUGAGAAGGUCGCAGCGGGCACCACAGCCUUCCUUUUCGUUUAUGCCUUCUCCCUCAGGAGAGACUUCUCAGGACAGUCUCCAUGAUUACACCAUGCUUUCAAAUUGUUUCGAGUCACUGAAGAGAAUGCACAUGCCUAGAGACGGCACAAUCAAGUAUGUGAUGCAUGUGUGUGCAAGCAAGGGUAUCAAUACCUGCCUUUUCUCCAAACGUCCAACAACAUCCUGUCCUCUGCCCUAAUCUCAGAGGUGUAAGAGAAAGUGGGUUUUGUUGUUGUUGCUGUUGUGUUUUAAUAGAAAGAUUUUUUUCAGAAAGCUUUAUUUAACACAGCUGGGUAGACAUGUUUGGUUUCUAGUGCUGAGCCCAGAAUCUCUCCCUCAGAGGAGCACUUGGCUAGCUCCUUCCACACCCACCUCAACCCUCUGCCUUUCCAGAACCUACAGGGCCACUCAAAUAGACGUUUCUUCCCCUGCUUGCUCCUUUAUGUCUCCCAGAGCUUCAUGCCCAAAGCUGUAUUUCCUCCAUGCCAUCUGUUUCACCCCCUCCCUUUUUACCCAAUCCCCAGCUUCCUUCUCUCUAAUUAUCCCCAACAGUCUGUAGGUAGAAGGAUGUAAAGAUAUAAGCAAGUGAAUCGCAUACCAUGUAAUUCAACAAUGGGAUGAGCUCUGUAUUGCACUCUUCCUCCAAGUGAGUUUUCAAUGGUAGGAUCUUCAAGCACUAUACUUGACAAAAAGCUUUUGUGGGAGUUUGUACAUGCACUUUAGCAAUAAUACUAUGGUGGUUUUGGUGUUGGUGUUGGUGUUGGUGUUGGUGUUGGUGGUGUUGGUAUUGGUGGUGGUGUUUGUUUGUUUGUUCUGUUUUUUGUUUUUUUUUACUAUUUGUGGGAAAGUAUGGUUGUGUCCGAUUGAAGCAAAGUCUCUUUAAAGACUCAUUUUAGGCUAGAGUGAUUGUUUUUUCUCUGGAAAAACCUGUGAAUUAGUGGUGUUUGAGAACUACCGGGUGGUUCCUGCUCAUUACUUCAGAACAUUUUAUUAGAAGUCUCUUUUCCCAGCAGACCUUGAGAAGCAGAAGGAAGCAGACAAUCUAUCAAACCACCAUGUAUAUAUGUGGCUCAGUGUAUAAUGCGUGUAUGUACAGCAGCCUGUAAUAGUGGCUGCCAAGGUAUGCCCUAAAUUUCCGGGGGUUCCUAAGC
rnacentral:lncRNA from 1 species